rnacentral:lncRNA from 1 species
ACAGUCCGCCAUCCAACCGUGAAAAUCGCCGAUUUUUCGUGAAACCCGGGUUCCUUUUUUCCUUGACCCGGCCGGUUCUUUGUUAACCCAUAUAUUUUUUAUUUCUCCGUCUUUCUUUCACUUUCUCCACCCCUUCUCCUCAGUCCUCACAAAUUCUAAAGUGUUAGGGAUACUUCCAACAUCAAAAAGCCCAGCAGCCGUCUCCAAUCUCUUGCAACUCAACCACUUCCAAAAAAUCCAAAUCUCCAAUUUCAAGUUUGAAGAGAUGGAAGAACAGGUCAGAUGUAUUUUGCUGAAAAAAUCUCGACCAAAUUGAUUUUAUACUUAGGCUAAUUUUUCAAAUUCAUAUGUAUAUAUUUUCUUCUUCUGUUAAUUGCUAUUGUUGUUCAAAUCGAUUAUAAUAUGGAAAUUAUUGCUGUGUUUAUUUGUUUGAUUAGGGUGAUGACAAAUACGCAAAUAGCCGUGAAUAUUGGAAAAAGAAUCAGAUCGACGUCAAGGCAAAGGUCCCAGUAGCCAAAUAUAUUGUGUUUAAUUAUUUUAGUAGAAUGAAAUGGGUGUGUGGAGUUAAUCCCAAAAUGGUCAGUGAGGCAUCGUUUAUGUUUCCAGAUUCGAUUUUUCUUCUUUUCCAGUUUCUAUUUCAUUAUGUUUCCAGUUUCUAUUUCCAAAUGUUCUGGGUUUAGUUUGAGCCUUCAUUAAUUCUUAAGGACAUUAAUUGGAUGUACUGGGUUUAGGUUGAUUAGAUGUCAUUAAAAUUAUUUUCAUGUUUUGACUUUUAAUUGAUGGUUUUAUUUUUGCA